CAAGCAGUUGCCAAGUGAUCUUCUCCACAGCACCCAUGAACUUCAGCCUUGAACUGAAGAGGACUCAUCAAAUGCCUUAUGAGACAGCAUGGAAUUGCAAGAGAAGCUGGGAUGUCAGUGAAGGGCAGUCAACUACAGUCUUGGUGUGUGGAGGAGCAGGUCCUGUUCUCCCUGUUGUUGCUCCCACAUAGGCGGACUCUGUAAUUGAUUAUGUGUGGGUAGGGCCCUAUUGAAAUUCAGGAGAUUCUGCAAUAGUGCAGGGUUCUUUCUGUGAAAGUUCAGUUGCAAGAUCAGGACUCUACUGUGACUCCUUACUGUGCAUUCUGUCAGUGUAUCAUUGAUAGUGCUGGAACCUGCCUUUUGGGAUAAUGUAAGUCCUGCUUUUCCCCCACAUGUACUUUAGAUAUGAAAUAAUCAUAAAACAUUUUUAGUCAGAAGAUGAAUGUCAUUUACAUGCAUUCUUUUAAUUAUUUUUUUUUGGCAGUACCAAAUACUAUAUUCCUCAAAACUUCUUAAUGGCACUGAGGCUUUGUGGAUAAUUGGUCACAUGAUGAGAAAAUUCAGCUCUACCAUUCCUUCUGAAGCUUUUCGCUUGCUACCUCUGGCCAUCCUGCCUUCCAUGUUGAGAGUAUUGUCAUAACUUCUGAUAUGGAAGAUUGCUGAACCUUUCCUUUGAUGCUGAUACCAGUGUUUUCUGUGAGAGAUAGUACUGUAGUGAAGACGUAGAAAAAGAAGAACAUGGCACUCAUGGAAUUUUUAAUGGUUUUGAAUAGUCAAGAAGUAUUGUUCUUCUGCCUUCAUAUAAAAUGUGCU
rnacentral:lncRNA from 14 species